rnacentral:misc_RNA from 2 species
ACACCUCAACUCUCACGGUUUCUCGUGAUGAGCUUGGACUUGGGGGCUUGUUGGCCUGUGGUCAGCUCUCCUCAAAUGAAUUAGCUUGCCGGUGUCUGGCGGCAUCAUGGGUGUGAUAACUAUCUACGCUUGUGACUGCCUGCAAGGGUAAACCUCUGGUCUCCAGAGGUUCGCUGGAGCUUAUAGAUGUCUCUCCUCGGUGAAGACAGCUGUCUGAA